rfam:Egretta garzetta contig26286, whole genome shotgun sequence.
UGUAAACAUCCUUGACUGGAAGCUGUAAGGUGUCAGAAGGAGCUUUCAGUCGGAUGUUUACA